rnacentral:lncRNA from 1 species
AAAUAUUGGCCGGAAAGUACUGUAGCUGCCGGAAAAAUCACUGUAGGUCGCCGGAAAAAAAUAAAAGUUGUCGGAAUCGAACAAAAAGUGGAUGGGUAGGGUCGGAAUUGUAUUCCGAGCAAUUUGUUCUGAAGGAGCGAAGCCAAAAAAUGGCCGGAAAUAGCCCCACGCGCCGGCGCGUGGUCUGACGUGCCGACAGCUGUGGUGGCGCGUGGGAGCGCGUGACGAGGAUUCUGCCGGAGAAAUUUCUGGGGUUUGGUCGGAAUUGUGAGCCGAACCUCGCGGUGGUCU